UUCCACAUUCUUGCUGUGAUUUUUUUUUUGAAAAAAAAUUUUUUUUUUUUUCUUCCUUUCAGUAAAAGUGCCUGCCUUUGUCAUGAUUUCACCCUGAAACGGGCAGGGGAUUCAAUAACGCGCCCUGGCAGGGUAUCAAAGGCCCGUUUUCUCAAGAGGAACAGGAAAAGGCCCUUUCAGCAGCGUACUUUGGAGGGAAAAUACCAUACCAUGAGAAAGAAGGAGGCAUAUUCAGCAGAGUUGUGAUUUGGGUAUAAAGCUGUGAUUUGGAUGUGAAUGCUGGUAUCCAAUGGAUGUUGUAUGUCUCUGUAUGUUGUAGGAAUAAAGUUUGCGUCUGUCUCCUGUGGCUGGAGUUCAGAUGCAGGAUUCUUCAUUUUUGGGUUGUAUUUCUGAAGGUAUUCAAGUGUGGCUUCAGUGACAUGAAAACUGGCCCAAAAGCUUUGUUUGACAAACUUAACACCUAAACAAAA